GACCGUACAGGGAACCUAAGCACAAAAGAUGUGCUUUUUAAAGGAGUGACAGCCAGUUUUCUUCAAAAAUACAAAAUUUGACAAAAUAAGGAACAGUGUAGGCUAAAAACCCGGCCAUGCCACUAGUCAUAAUCCACCCUUCAAAAGAGCCAGAUGGAAAGGUGUCUUCAAGCCCUCCUUCUGCUCUGCUUCAUCCAUUCCUGUCACUGAAAACUGACCAAGCUCAUCGAGAUGAAGCACCCCAGGACCUUUUGGGUCAAAAAUUCUUAAAUUUCUGAGGACAUGAUGAUAGGACCAGAAACCCUAUUUAUCCAUAUACAUUCAAUUCUUAGUUCUGUAUUGAGGUUAGCACUUUUUCAUCACUUCAUGAGGGACAC